UUAUAAUUAUGUUUAGAAGAUCAGAAUAUUCAUAAAUUCUUAUUUUGUUUCAUAAAUAGUUCUUUAAUAUUCGAAACAAAUUCCAUAUCUGCUUCGUCUGCCAUCGCCAUGUUUACUCGUCCCAAUCUACAUGCUGCACGGCAUUGCCGCCCCUCCUGGCAAAAUAAUAAGCAAGCGAGAAAAAUUAAGGAGAAAAUAAGAGGGUAGGAACACUGUGGGCGUUUCGUGGGCGUUUCAUCGCUCUGGGCGAAUCAGCUUGCUCAAUCUUGUAUCACAUGACUAAUUCAAAUCGUCAUAGGCGGGAAGCAGCAUUACACGUCAUCCCUACGUCAAAUAAAACGUUAUAAAACGCGUCGUGGAUACGUUUGUGCCAUAUAUGGAAGUUAUGGAUACGUUUGUGCCAUAUAUGGAAGUGUCACUGCAUCCAGCUUAUGACAACGAUGUUCCUACCCUCUUAUUUUCUCCUUAAUUUUUCUCGCUUGCUUAUUAUCUUGCCAGGAGGGGCGGCAAUGCCGUGUAGUAUGUAGAUUGGGGCGAGUAAACAUGGCGGCGGCAGACAAAGCAGAU
rnacentral:lncRNA from 1 species